GUGGUCGUAGAUCAAUGGUAGAUCCCCAGAUUGUGGUUCUGGUUGUUGCGGGUUCGAGUCCCGUCGGCCACCCCA
rnacentral:tRNA from 1 species